rnacentral:rRNA from 1 species
AGAGUUUGAUCAUGGCUCAGGACGAACGCUGGCGGCGUGCUUAACACAUGCAAGUCGAACGGAAAGGCCCCUUCGGGGGUGCUCGAGUGGCGAACGGGUGAGUAACACGUGGGUGAUCUGCCCUGCACUUUGGGAUAAGCCUGGGAAACUGGGUCUAAUACCGAAUACACCUUCCUGGUUGCAUGGCUGGGUUGGGAAAGCUUUUGCGGUGUGGGAUGGGCCCGCGGCCUAUCAGCUUGUUGGUGGGGUGAUGGCCUACCAAGGCGACGACGGGUAGCCGGCCUGAGAGGGUGUCCGGCCACACUGGGACUGAGAUACGGCCCAGACUCCUACGGGAGGCAGCAGUGGGGAAUAUUGCACAAUGGGCGCAAGCCUGAUGCAGCGACGCCGCGUGAGGGAUGACGGCCUUCGGGUUGUAAACCUCUUUCAAUAGGGACGAAGCGCAAGUGACGGUACCUAUAGAAGAAGCACCGGCCAACUACGUGCCAGCAGCCGCGGUAAUACGUAGGGUGCGAGCGUUGUCCGGAAUUACUGGGCGUAAAGAGCUCGUAGGUGGUUUGUCGCGUUGUCCGUGAAAACUCACAGCUUAACUGUGGGCGUGCGGGCGAUACGGGCAGACUGGAGUACUGCAGGGGAGACUGGAAUUCCUGGUGUAGCGGUGGAAUGCGCAGAUAUCAGGAGGAACACCGGUGGCGAAGGCGGGUCUCUGGGCAGUAACUGACGCUGAGGAGCGAAAGCGUGGGGAGCGAACAGGAUUAGAUACCCUGGUAGUCCACGCCGUAAACGGUGGGUACUAGGUGUGGGUUUCCUUCCUUGGGAUCCGUGCCGUAGCUAACGCAUUAAGUACCCCGCCUGGGGAGUACGGCCGCAAGGCUAAAACUCAAAGGAAUUGACGGGGGCCCGCACAAGCGGCGGAGCAUGUGGAUUAAUUCGAUGCAACGCGAAGAACCUUACCUGGGUUUGACAUGCACAGGACGCCGGCAGAGAUGUCGGUUCCCUUGUGGCCUGUGUGCAGGUGGUGCAUGGCUGUCGUCAGCUCGUGUCGUGAGAUGUUGGGUUAAGUCCCGCAACGAGCGCAACCCUUGUCUCAUGUUGCCAGCGCGUUAUGGCGGGGACUCGUGAGAGACUGCCGGGGUCAACUCGGAGGAAGGUGGGGAUGACGUCAAGUCAUCAUGCCCCUUAUGUCCAGGGCUUCACACAUGCUACAAUGGCCGGUACAAAGGGCUGCGAUGCCGUGAGGUGGAGCGAAUCCUUUCAAAGCCGGUCUCAGUUCGGAUCGGGGUCUGCAACUCGACCCCGUGAAGUCGGAGUCGCUAGUAAUCGCAGAUCAGCAACGCUGCGGUGAAUACGUUCCCGGGCCUUGUACACACCGCCCGUCACGUCAUGAAAGUCGGUAACACCCGAAGCCGGUGGCCUAACC